AACCUUCACCCUAAAAUAACCCUAGACCUAGACCUAAAAACCUAGACUUAGCUAUCAGCCGCAAAAACAAAAAAUCGGACCCCCCCUAUUGAUCAUCUUCUUCAAGCAGCCUUCCACGACUUUUUUCUGAACAAAAAAACAACACCCCUAGCUUCAUCUUCUUCAGUCAUUGAACAGACCCAGCGACCAUCCUCAUUUUUCCUGGUCUUCCUCCUCAUUCUCUCACCAUCGCCACCAGCCUUUCCAUCCUCUACAAAACACGCACACACGGACAAAGAUUGGGGGAACAAAUUUUGGGGAUAAAAAUUGGGAAGGAAGGCAGAGAAACAGUUUGACUGCUGCGUAGUCGAAGUUUCCGUUCGAGGUGUGGUCUGUGUUUCCGAUUCGGGUUCGCGGUUCCUGCUCGAUUUCGUCGCUGUUUUCCUCAGUUAGAUUUGAAGCCCUGUACUUUCAGUUUCUCAUAUAUUAAAACAGGUUAUUAUAGGCAGAGGCGGAGCCAGGAUUUCAAGCUUAUAGGUUCGGGAUUCUAAUCGUUUGAAGUUACUAGGUUCUAAAUUAAUAAUAUAUACGUAUUCAAUGAAAUUUUUAAGAUAAAUACAAGGUUCGAACCAAAGUUACUAGGUUCGGCCGAACCCGUUCCGAUCACUCUAGCUCCGUCCCUGGUUAUAGGAUACAAGAAGAAGAGAAUUAGAAGAAAUACUACUAGAGAUGAAUUACCAGUUCCUAAUAGCAAAUGGUCAACUUUAUGCGAAAAAUGUAUGCUUACUUGGAUAACUUUACUUGGAAGAUUUAAUGUCUAAGCUUAGUGACUAGCUUCAGAUUCAGAACCAAGAAGAAGACUUUUUUAAUAUAGACUUUAAUUAGUUGCA